rnacentral:rRNA from 1 species
UGGGGAAUAUUGGACAAUGGGCGAAAGCCUGAUCCAGCAAUACCGCGUGUGUGAAGAAGGCCUUCGGGUUGUAAAGCACUUUAAGUUGGGAAGAAAAGGCUUCACCUAAUACGUGAAGCCUUGACGGUACCGACAGAAUAAGCACCGGCUAACUCUGUGCCAGCAGCCGCGGUAAUACAGAGGGUGCUAGCGUUAAUCGGAUUUACUGGGCGUAAAGCGUGCGUAGGUGGUUUGAUAAGUCGAUUGUGAAAGCCCCGGGCUUAACCUGGGAAUUGCGGUCGAUACUGUCAGACUCGAAAACGGUGGAGGGAGGUGGAACUCCAGGUGUAGCGGUGAAAUGCGUAGAUAUCUGGAAGAACACCGAUGGCGAAGGCAGCCUCCUGGGCCUGUUUUGACACUGAGGCACGAAAGCGUGGGUAGCAAACAGGAUUAGAUACCCUGGUAGUCCACGCCGUAAACGAUGAGAACUUGACGUUGGUUUGCUUAGCAAAUCGGUGUCGUAGCUAACGCGAUAAGUUCUCCGCCUGGGGAGUACGGCCGCAAGGUUG